rnacentral:lncRNA from 1 species
CUUCUGGUCAUAAUGAGGCCCGACCCGGAAAAAGGAGCACGUGGGCCAGGUCGGGACACCCUGGAGAGACUCCAGCCCCCUCUCACUCACUCGCUCGCUCAGAACCAAGUUGUUUUCAUUGGAGUCUCCUGAGCUGGACAUCAAGAGCCAAGACUGGGGAGUUCCAGUUUCUCGUUUGUUCCCACCACACCCAUCCAGCGGCUGCAGAAUGUCACUGAGACUCAGCCUGGCAGCAAAGACCACUAACUACUGGAGUCAGGAGACCUGGAGGGACCGUCCUGUGAUGGGCAUGGCUUAGACAGGGGCGCCAAAAGGACGGGAAAGAUGGCGACCGCCCUGAGUGGACAGGUGCUAGCUGUGCGGCCCUCAGGCUCUGAGGGGCAUGAGUUUGCUGGCCUUGGAGAGGAAGGGUACAAGCGUGAGGUCCACAUCUUACCUUGGCAGGACUUCUUUGGGGCAGUGCAGGCCCUGCCCGUGGGGAGAUCUGCGGCAAGGUCUUGACCGAUGGAAGUUGCGAGUAACAGAAACCCACUCAAGUUAGCUUAAGCGGAGAGGGGGCUUCUCGGUAGGAUACUGGACUAUUGUGGACCCCAUGGACAGCCAGAACCCUCAAAGAACUAGAAUUAGUCCUGAAAGGGGGUCAGGCACCCUGGCAGUACUUUCUGUGUAUUUCGCACCUCUCCGUAUCCUUCUCCCUCUGCAGCCGGGCCUCGCCCAUUCCCUGUGGACAUGACCACCCCGCCAGCACCGGGGUUCACAUCUCCCUUGUUCCGGGGACCAGCUCAGGCCGUGCCCAGCCACCUCCCAGUUCUAACUCCAUAGAGAGAGAAUCUAAUUGGCCCUGUUGGGAACAGAUGUCACCCCUGGUCCAAUCAAGGGAGACCAAGGGGACAUCGCCAGGUACCAUGAACAUGACAGCAAGGCCCUGUGAGCUGGGUGGGCACCCCCCAAGGCCAGAUGGAUGGAAAUGAGCCACAACAAAGACUCUGUGGAGGCAGCCAGAAAAAGGCUCAGAAUCUAGUGAGACAAGAGCUUGGGGUAAAAACUCCAUCCAUUGGACUAAAGCAGACAGUCAGCGUUCCACUUAAGCCCAUCAAACUCCCAACCAUUUCUGUGCACGCCAACCUGAC